rnacentral:rRNA from 1 species
UACAGAGGUCCCAAGCGUUGUUCGGAUUCAUUGGGCGUAAAGGGUGCGUAGGCGGCGCGGUAAGUCGGGUGUGAAAUCUCGGGGCUUAACUCCGAAACUGCAUUCGAUACUGCCGUACUUGAGGACUGGAGAGGAGACUGGAAUUUACGGUGUAGCGGUGAAAUGCGUAGAUAUCGUAAGGAAGACCAGUGGCGAAGGCGGGUCUCUGGACAGUUCCUGACGCUGAGGCACGAAGGCCAGGGGAGCAAACGGG